rnacentral:rRNA from 1 species
AACGAACGCUGGCGGCGUGGAUAAGACAUGCAAGUCGAGCGGGGGUCUGUGGGUAGCAAUAUUCGCAGACUCUAGCGGCGAAAGGGUGCGUAACACGUGGGUAAUUUGCCGUGAAGCCUGGAAUAACUCGCUGAAAGGCGAGCUAAUACCGGAUGUGACUGCAGAAAGGCAUCUUUCUGUGGUUAAAGCUGGGGACCGUAAGGCCUGGCGCUUCACGAUCAGCCCGCGGCCUAUCAGCUAGUUGGUGGGUAACGGCUCACCAAGGCUAAAACGGGUAGCUGGUCUGAGAGGACGACCAGCCACACUGGAACUGAGACACGGUCCAGACACCUACGGGUGGCAG